rnacentral:rRNA from 1 species
AUCAACGCUGGCGGCGUGCCUCAGACAUGCAAGUCGAACGCGAAAGUCCCCUUCGGGGGACAAGUAGAGUGGCGCACGGGUGAGUAACACGUAGGUAAUCUACCUUUGGAUGGGGAAUAACAAUCGGAAACGGUUGCUAAUACCGCAUAAUGCAGCGGCACCUAAUGGUGACAGUUGUUAAAGCGGGGGAUCGAAAGACCUCGCGUCUGAAGAGGAGCCUGCGGCGGAUUAGCUAGUUGGUAAGGUAAUGGCUUACCAAGGCUACGAUCCGUAACCGGCCUGAGAGGGCGGUCGGUCACACUGACACUGACAUACGGGUCAGACUCCUACGGGAGGCAGCAGUCGGGAAUUUUGGGCAAUGGGCGAAAGCCUGACCCAGCAACGCCGCGUGAAGGAUGAAAUCCCUCGGGAUGUAAACUUCGCAAGAAUGGGAAGAAUAAGUAGGGGACAA